UGAAUUAAUUAAUAUUAUCUGUUAACUGUUUUGGAGAAGGACAAGAUAACGUCAUUCAGAUAGCAUCAACACCUGGACGGAGAAGGCUAAGAACUUUUUUAAACAAUUACCGCCAAACACUGACUAAGGCCAGACAAAGUUGCAGCCGGUGAUUUGUAGAGCAAGCUGUCACUGCCAAGACAGGUCCGUCUCGGAAAUUGCAACUGGAGCAUACAGCAACCAGAAGACUUCACAAGGGGAUGACUGAACGAGCAAGUUGGAAAAAGAUAUCUGUUGAACUAUGCACAACUUUCCUGAGCUUGUAAUCUACUCGUGACUAAAUAACCUUGGAACAACGCUAGAAGACCCAAGAUGAGACGUCGAGUAAAAACAUUUGAGGAAGAUGCAGAUUGUAUAAGAAGGGCAAAGAGCGAGAGGGCUGCAUAAAUGAACUUUGGCCAAGAAAGAAAUUAAUGGACACUAGAUAUGCUAAUAUAUACAGACAAAAUAGUCAAACAACCGAUCAAAUUGAAAUAUGCUAAUUGUGAUGUCAUAACUAACCUUCUUUGCACAAUGUAAAAACCAAAUUUACUUCCUGUAAUAAACAGAACUCCCUGGGGUACUGAGGAGG